CCCCAGUAACGGCGAGUGAAGCGGGAACAGCUCAAAUUUGAAAUCUCCGACGCUUGCGUCGGCGAGUUGUAGUUGCGAGAAGCACUUUCUCGGCGGAUCGGACGCGCCUAAGUUGCUUGGAACAGUACGUCGCAGAGGGUGACAACCCCGUCCGUGGCGCUUCCGGCCGCUCACGAUGUGCUUUCGAAGAGUCGGGUUGUUUGGGAAUGCAGCCCAAAACGGGUGGUAAACUCCAUCUAAAGCUAAAUAUUGACGUGAGACCGAUAGCGAACAAGUACCGUGAGGGAAAGAUGAAAAGAACUUUGAAAAGAGAGUUAAAAAGUACGUGAAACCGUUGAAAGGGAAACGAAUGGACUCAGCAAUGCGCCGCUUGAGAUUCAGCCGGCCGGCGGGGUCGGCCCGGGGUUUGCGGAUCCGAACGGACCGCGGUCUCGGGCUCGUCCUCGCCGACCGUCGCACUUCUCUUGGGCGCGCGUCAACGUCGGUCGGUUCUGGGUCUGAAGGGUUCCGGGAAGGUGAGUCCGCGCUUCUCCUCCUCGGGGGAGUCGCGCGUUCCGUUUACAGCCCGGUUCUCGGAUCGGCUCGGAGUCGACCGAGGCGGUCGCAGCGCAUGCCUCUCGUGGCUAGGGUCCCGUUCUUCCGGCCGGUCGUCGACCGCGGUGGACUGCUUGCAGUGCUCCGCGACUGCUGCCGGUCGUUGGGGCGG
rnacentral:rRNA from 1 species